GACUUCACCAUACCACACUGAACACACCCAAUCUCUUUUGAUUUCUGAAGCAAAACACUGUUGAGCCUGCUUAAUACCUGGAUGCAAGACCACCAGGGGAUACCACGGAUUUGUAGAUA
rnacentral:rRNA from 1 species